UUCAUUGAAGUUGUAUCUUUUAUUACAAUUUCACUUCAUUAUAUACAAACCUAAAUGAAUAGAGAAUAGAAAACGAAAUAGCCAACACAUACAAACACAUACAAACAUACAUGCGCUAGGGACAGACAUUCAGAGAAGAAAAUACCACGAGGAAAAAACACAAUAGAUAUGUGUUUUAUUAGAAACAGCUUAUCACAUAUAAGCACACACAUUAGCCAUUCAUUCAAGUAACUGGCGGGGCACACACAUUUUAUAAUAUAUAAUUGACAAUCCUCUAGUGUUUUCUGGCAUACAUAUUAAUAUACAUCAUUAUUUCACUAAUUACUUCUCAUGGAUAAAACAAAUAGCAAUCGAAAAGUAUGUUUAUAAUUCAAAUAACAAUACACAAUUACUAAUGGAACAUAGACACUUGGAGGGGCGAGGAGAGACAACUCUCCACACCGAAUAAGAAAAUGUGCUGAAGUGAAUGUCGAAUCAAUUGGAGAGUUAACGUUACUAGAUUGAACAUAAGGGGAGAAGAACGAGAUUUGGGGGAAAAAAAGGGGGGGGGGGGGAG